AUUGAACGCUGGCGGCAGGCCUAACACAUGCAAGUCGAGCGAGCGGCGGACGGGUGAGUAAUGUCUGGGACACUGCCUGCUGGAGGGGGAUAACUACUGGAAACGGUAGCUAAUACCGCAUACCAUCAGAUGUGCCCAGAUGGGAUUAGCUAGUAGGUGUGGUAACGGCUCACCUAGGCGACGAUCCCUAGCUGGUCUGAGAGGAUGACCAUCCACACUGGAACUGAGGCACGGUCCAGACUCCUACUGGAGGCAGCGGUGGGGAAUAUUGCGCAAUGGGCGCAAGCCUGAUGCAGCGCUGCCGCGUGUGUGAAUAAGGCCUUCGGGUUGUAAAGCACUUUCAGCGGGGGGGCGUUACCCGCAGAAGAAGCGCCGGCUAACUCCGUGCCAGCAGCCGCGGUAAUAC
rnacentral:rRNA from 1 species